rnacentral:rRNA from 1 species
CAGCAGCCGGUAAUACGGAGGGAGCUAGCGUUGUUCGGAAUUACUGGGCGUAAAGCGCACGUAGGCGGUUAUUCAAGUCAGAGGUGAAAGCCCGGGGCUCAACCCCGGAACAGCCUUUGAAACUAGAUGACUAGAAUCUUGGAGAGGUCAGUGGAAUUCCGAGUGUAGAGGUGAAAUUCGUAGAUAUUCGGAAGAACACCAGUGGCGAAGGCGACUGACUGGACAAGUAUUGACGCUGAGGUGCGAAAGCGUGGGGAGCAAACAGGAUUAGAUACCCUCGUAGUCCCUGUCUCUUAUACAC